rnacentral:rRNA from 1 species
UACGAAGGGGGCUAGCGUUGCUCGGAAUCACUGGGCGUAAAGCGCACGUAGGCGGAUUGUUAAGUCAGGGGUGAAAUCCUGGAGCUCAACUCCAGAACUGCCUUUGAUACUGGCGAUCUUGAGUCCGGGAGAGGUGAGUGGAACUCCGAGUGUAGAGGUGAAAUUCGUAGAUAUUCGGAAGAACACCAGUGGCGAAGGCGGCUAUCUGGACGGUUUCUGACGCUAAGACGCGAAAGCGUGGGGAGCAAACAGG